GACUGCGCCGCCGUGCGGGAGCAGCUGCUGCAGGAGAAGAAGCUGCUGGAGGAAUGCGAGCAACAGAAGGAGAAGGUGGAGGAGUGCCAGCGCUACGCCAAGCAGUACAUCGACGCCAUCAAGGACUACGAGCUGCAGCUCAUCACCUUCACAGCACAGCUGGAGCCGCAGGCAUCGCCUGCCAAGAAGGCCAAAGUGCAGUCAGCAUCAGACAGCGUCAUCCAGGAGUACGUGGAGCUGCGCACACGGUACAGCGAGCUGACGACGCUCAGCAGUCAGUACAUCAAAUUCAUCACGGAGACUCUGCGGCGCAUGGAGCACGAGGAGAUGGAGGUGGCCCAGCAGGCGCAGCUCCGCCAGGAGACGCAGUCCCUGCAGGAGUCCUUCCUGCACGAGAAGGACGCGCUGCUGCAGAAGGAGAAAUUCAUCGAGGAGGAGAAGGCGAAGCUGGAGAAGCUCUUCCAGGACGAAGUGGACAAAGCGCAGAGCCUGAAGGCCGAGCAGGAGCGGCAGCAGCAGGAGAUGGAGCAGGAGAAGCAGCAGCUGAAGGCCAUGCUGGACGAAGCCAAGCGGCAGCAGGAGGAGGCGGAGGAGAGCGUCCGCCGCAAGCAGGAGGAGCUGCAGCAGCUGCAGGAGGAGCAGCGGAGCGCCGUGGCGCCCACGCGGGAGAUGAUGAUCCAAACUGAUGCGGCGCCGCAGCAGCCGCCGCCGCACGCGAUGCCCAACGGCCGCCACGUGGUGGACGGCCUGGAGCAGAACGGAGAGCCCGAAUUCGCCUUCCAGGGCAUCCGGCAGAAGGUGUCGGCGCAGCAGUUGGCGGCCGCCGGCGGCCUGAGCAGCCCCAGGCCGCGACACACGGGA
rnacentral:lncRNA from 1 species